GAUAUCAAACCACAACAUCCUGCUAGAUCAAAAUUUCAAUGAUAAGAUAUCUGAUUUUUGGGAUGUCAAAGCUAAUUGAAACAGACAAAAGAAAAAUUGAACUAGAAUGAGAGGGACAAGAGGAUAUUUAGCCCCUGAAUGGCUGAACUCAGUAAUCACUGAGAAAGUGUACGUGUAUGCAUUUGGUAUUAUGCUCUUGGAAGUUCUCUGUGCGCGGAAAAAUUUAGACUUAUGAAGAUGUCCAUUUGCUAACUGUUUUUGAAAGAAAAGCGGAUCAACAACAACUCAUGGAUAUGGUUGACAAAAACAAUAAGGAAAUGCAGAUGCACAAAGAAGUAGUGACAGAAAUGAUGAGCAUUGAUGCGUGGUGUCUACAGGGCGAUUUCACCAAGAGGACUUCCAUGUCAUUUGUGGUUAAAGCAUUGGAAGGUUUGGUGUCUGUUGAAACCAACUUGUAUUACGAUUUCACUAGACUACCUGAGGUUCAAGCUGGCAACCAACAGAGCGAAGCCACUGACAGUUCAAUAUUGCCUUCAGUAUUACAUCGAGUCUAAUCCACCUAAGUUUUACUAUGCUUCAAGUUCUCCGGAUAGUAUACAUUUCAGUUUUGAUAGUCAAACACUUACCGCUCUGCAAGAAUCUCCUACAUCACCAGCUCAAUUCAUAAAGCUUCAGCUUGAUGGGCAUUUACGGGUAUACCAAUGGGAUGAGAAAGUACUUAGAUUGGAAGUCAUAUCUGAUCUUUCCCUUUCAUAUGGAGGAAACUGUGGGUAUCCAACUGUCUGUGGAAGAGAUGGCAUUUGCACUGGUGACGGGCGAUGUAGUUUCCCGCCAGAGGAAAAUUUCUUCAUGCCAUCAGAUUAGAGGAAAAAGAAAAAAAAAAUGUAGGAUGUUCACAGGUGAUAUCCAUUAACUGCAACUCUUUGCAGAAUCAUAGUUUCAUAUAGCUCAGGAAUACCACAUAUUGGAGCACAGAGGGACAUUAUAGCUUCUUGUUUUGAGGUCGAAACAUGACAUGAGUUACAUCGAGAGCUCAAACCAUUAGGUACAAGCAAGACCUGAAUACAUAAGACAUAGAUAGAUGUCCGUUUAAAUCGAAGUAGGAGGAGCUUGCUUGAAUAGGAUUAGGAAAUGGUUUAUCAUAAUUCUUACUUGAAACUAGACACUACAAGAAACUUCGGAAACUGCUGCAAUCUAUCAUUUCCCCCUUUCAGAAACACUAAUCGUAAUUACUUCUAACUCCCAAAGUCAUCAACUUACAACUAACAUUUUCAUGGGCAUAGACACCCACACUUUUAAGCUCUUAAUACUCCAUCUUCAAUUUCUUAGAAUACUAUUAUUACUCCUUUAAUCACAUAACUUACAACUUAACAUAAGCUCUAAAACUAUAACAAGGCGCGCAUUGCCUACCUAUAUCUCCUCAAUUCAACUAUAAAGAACACCAUACAACAACUUUCCCGACUUCUCCAUAAUACAAGAUUCAAGAACAAAAUCUAGGCACACGUGACACCCGUACACAUCACCUUAUCUAACAACAUACUACCUCAGGGUUCAACUUAUUCUAAUAUACCCACGCUCUUAUCCACUUAAUGAUUCAACAACAAUUCAUCAUUAUAACACUAGUGUCAUGCAUAUAUACAUAUCACAAUUACCACUUAAACUUUUCAUAAAUCAUCAACUUAGGCUUUUUCACAAAUCACAUCAAGCCCACUAAUUCAUUCCCACAAAACAUACAUCAUUAAUCUUAAGUUACUAUUCUUACCAUCACAUUUUACAUCUAAAGUUCAAGCCUAUAGUCUAGCAUCAAUCAUCUACCGCCGAUGAAGCAUGUAACAUAAUAUACUAGUCCAUCAAAUUGGGAAAUCAAUCCAAAAUACUUCAUUUAAUUUAACUACGACCUACAAUCAUUUCCCCUCGAAAACAUUACUACUACACCUCAAAAUCUACUACAUACUUUCUCACAAGCAGUGCUCGUUUACAACUACUAGAGGAAAGACAAUCAAAGGGGUGAGGUCACAUAAUAAGGAUGGUCGAUCUCAAUCUUAUAAUACAACCCAUUUCAAUCUUAUCAACAUAUUCUAAUUUCUCACAUCAUAUUUACUUAGCCAUGUAUAUAUUCUCACUAUCACCAAAUUCUAGAAACACCAAUGAGUCUUUACCCAUAACUUAUUGACUAGUCUACCUUUUUCCAUUCACAACCUAUAAAUCAUUUCUAUAACCACCAUAACUAUCCACUUUGAGCUCCUUCUCUAUUUUCAAUAAAUAAUAAUCAUAUCCAGUCACUUCCUUCACAAACUACCAUACAAUCUACAAAUAUUGCCACACAUUAGUCUAUCACUAUAAAAUGGCAAACCAUCCUCCAAUCAAUGGUUAUACAACUAAAACUAUUUAUUUACACAAAAGUCACCCUCACUCUGACUUCUAGCCUUGUGACUUCAUAUCACCAACUUCUUGACCCAUUUACUACCAAUAGAUCAUGACACUUUUUUAAUUUCUACUACUCGGGUGGAAAUAUAGUUCCGACAUUCUGCUAAACAUCAUUAGCCUUAUGCAUGACAUCCACAACAAGAAUUUUGAAAGAAAACGGAAUAGACUUUGUAUCUUAGGAUGAAAAGCACGAUUUCAUAAGAAUAAAAGCAUACACUCAAAUCAAUACAACCUAAAGACUAAUGGACUCCUCCCAAGUCCUCAUGCUGUCUCAUAACUUUACGGAUGACUCAAUCAGAGAGAACCACAUUGUUGAGGAGCUAGACUCUUAGACUUGUAUCGCCUCGACAGUGAGGCAUGGCCCAUGAAAUUAGAACAAGGAAUGAAUUUAUAUAACUCUCUCAUGGAAAACUCUAUAGCAUGAACUAGAGUAUGAAAGAAUAAGAAACAACUCCUAAAUGCCCGGUAGCCUCCUGAUUAUAAGUGCGGUGCAUGACACACCCAUAAACAAGACUCUACUAGACACGAUUUCGCAGACACCAUGCGACUAUGAACCGUGCUAUGAUACCAAGUUUGUCACGACACGAGUUGGGGCCUUAGCCGCGACGAGCAUCCCGAACCAUGAAGGCCCGGGCGCCCCUUUCUAUCUGACAAUCGUGAACACCAUUCAUAUACAAUAAAGAAAAAUGUGGAAAACUAUUACAACGGAAUCAUGGUCAACUUUUAUUUCAAACUACUCAAUACUGAAAUAAGUUCGUAAAGAUCAACAUCUAACACUUGUCUGCGAAAUUUAUACAUAUAUAACAUAGGAGAGAGAAAGUCAUAAAAUAUUAUGCAUGAAAUAGUUUAAAAUACAUGGGCCUUUCAAAAGAUCUUAAAACAAUCUUGUCAAUGCGAUUUCAUUCUUCGUAUUACUUCUGAGCUAGAUGGUACACCCUACAUUUCUACAAUUCCACGGGCUAUAUGGAAUCCGCCCUUGACUAGGCGGCCAAGCCCCCAAUCCAAGUUUGCCGCAAGGAUUGGGGUGUCAGCAAGGGGGGAACACGCAAGAUCACAAAGCAGGGUAUCAUAAUUCCCAAUCAAGUCAACAUGUCAUGGUAGUGCACAAGAACACAAAGCAGGGUUCCUAACCAUAAAUCCCAAUUUAGGACGACAUGAAAGCAUAGAGUCUUUCAACUCAUACUUUCUUCGAGUAACCAUCUAACUCUCUUUAAGCCCAUUUUUAACCUUUUCUAAACAUGCAACUUUCUGAAUUCAAAAUCUAAAAAUCUGAGUGAAAUCUGAUUUCUAUUCAAUUCUGUGUUUGUCAUGGCAUUGUCUAUUUGGUAUCGUCAUAACAAGACUUGCAAGUUAUGUUUCUGAGCCAUAAAAUAUCAUAUCACAGUUUUCUCUUUCAAAACAUAAAGUUUAGACCACCAUACUUCAAAUAAUUCUAGAAGAUUCAUUUUUCCAAAAAUAUUUAUCAAAUUAUGCAAAGAUCAUUCUUUUCAAUCAUUUCAACAAACAUGUGGUGGUCAUGUAUUCUUGACAAACCAUACAAUUCUUUCAUUAUAUAUAUAUAUAUAUAUAUAUAUNNNNNNNNNNNNNNNNNNNNNNNNNNNNNNNNNNNNNNNNNNNNNNNNNNNNNNNNNNNNNNNNNNNNNNNNNNNNNNNNNNNNNNNNNNNNNNNNNNNNNNNNNNNNNCAAAUAAUCAUGUUCUAAAUUCAAUUAACAACUUAAACACAUACAUACAUAUAUAAGAUUACAAAUCAAUUUAGGGAAAAGGCCUCAAGACCAAAUCAAUAUCAUCAAAAACUUUAAAAGCAUAAAUCUAAUUAUAAAUCAAACAUCCCUUUUUCUAAAUUCAUGAUUUCUAAACCUUUAACAUGAUUAAGAAGAAUUUACCAUGCCCAUGUAGAUAUAGGAAAACCCCACGUACCUUAGAUAGUUUAGUUUGAAAGAUGGAACCCGGAUCUUGAUCCUUUUCUUGGAAUUCUUGAUCUUAGGGAUAGUUCUUAAUCUUUGGGAAAAGGAUUAGGGUUGGAUUUUUGAGAGGAAUUGAUUAGUUUGUGAUGUAUUUUGCCCAAAUACUGAUUUUAUGUCGUGUUGUGGCUGAGGUAAGACGAGGGAAAAGACGAAAAUACCCCUAAGGAAACAAAAAAGGUCGCAACAGUC
rnacentral:lncRNA from 1 species